rnacentral:rRNA from 1 species
GCCCAGACUCCUACGGGAGGCAGCAGUGGGGAAUAUUGCACAAUGGGGGAAACCCUGAUGCAGCGACGCCGCGUGAGCGAUGAAGUAUUUCGGUAUGUAAAGCUCUAUCAGCAGGGAAGAAGAUGACGGUACCUGACUAAGAAGCCCCGGCUAACUACGUGCCAGCAGCCGCGGUAAUACGUAUGGGGCAAGCGUUAUCCGGAUUUACUGGGUGUAAAGGGAGCGUAGGCGGCCUGGCAAGCCUGAUGUGAAAUACCGGGGCCCAACCCCGGGGCUGCAUUGGGAACUGCCAGGCUGGAGUGCCGGAGAGGCAGGCGGAAUUCCUAGUGUAGCGGUGAAAUGCGUAGAUAUUAGGAGGAACACCAGUGGCGAAGGCGGCCUGCUGGACGGUGACUGACGCUGAGGCUCGAAAGCGUGGGGAGCAAACAGGAUUAGAUACCCCCGUAC